CCUACGGGAUGCACCAGUGGGGAAUAUUGCACAAUGGGCGCAAGCCUGAUGCAGCCAUGCCGCGUGUAUGAAGAAGGCCUUCGGGUUGUAAAGUACUUUCAGCGGGGAGGAAGGUGUUAAGGUUAAUAACCUCAGCAAUUGACGUUACCCGCAGAAGAAGCACCGGCUAACUCCGUGCCAGCAGCCGCGGUAAUACGGAGGGUGCAAGCGUUAAUCGGAAUUACUGGGCGUAAAGCGCACGCAGGCGGUCUGUCAAGUCGGAUGUGAAAUCCCCGGGCUCAACCUGGGAACUGCAUUCGAAACUGGCAGGCUGGAGUCUUGUAGAGGGGGGUAGAAUUCCAGGUGUAGCGGUGAAAUGCGUAGAGAUCUGGAGGAAUACCGGUGGCGAAGGCGGCCCCCUGGACAAAGACUGACGCUCAGGUGCGAAAGCGUGGGGAGCAAACAGGAUUAGAUACCCCGGUAGUC
rnacentral:rRNA from 1 species